AUUGAACGCUGGCGGCAGGCCUAACACAUGCAAGUCGAACGAGUGGCGGACGGGUGAGUAAUGUCUGGGAAACUGCCUGAGGGAGGGGGAUAACUACUGGAAACGGUAGCUAAUACCGCAUACCAUCGGAUGUGCCCAGAGUGGAUUAGCUAGUAGGUGGGGUAAAGGCUCAACUAGGAGAAGAUCCCUAGCUGGUCUGAGAGGAUGACCAGCGACACUGGAACUGAGACACGGUCCAGACUCCUACGUGAGGCAUCAGUGGGGAGUAUGGCACAGUGGGCGCUAGCCUGAUGCAGCCAUGCCUCGUGUAUUAAGAAGGCCUUCUGGUUUUAAAGUACUUGCAGCGGGGAGGCGUUACCCGCAGAAGACGCACCGGCUAACUCCGUGCCAGACGCCGCGGUAAUUC
rnacentral:rRNA from 1 species